rnacentral:rRNA from 1 species
GAUGAACGCUAGCGGCAGGCUUAACACAUGCAAGUCGAGGGGUAGAAGGAGCUUGCUCCUUUGAGACCGGCGCACGGGUGCGUAACGCGUAUGCAAUCUACCUUUUGCAGAGGGAUAGCCCAGAGAAAUUUGGAUUAAUACCUCAUAGUAUGUGAGGAUGGCAUCAUUUUCACAUUAAAGUCACAACGGCAAAAGAUGAGCAUGCGUCCCAUUAGCUAGUUGGUAAGGUAACGGCUUACCAAGGCUACGAUGGGUAGGGGUCCUGAGAGGAGAUCCCCCACACUGGUACUGAGACACGGACCAGACUCCUACGGGAGGCAGCAGUGAGGAAUAUUGGACAAU